GAGCAAUUUGUUUACAAGGAGGGGUAUAUAUGAGCCACUUUCAUAACAAGGGGUAUAUCAGCUCUAAAUGACAAAGUUGAGGGGUAUAUCAGACCCUUCUCCCUUCAUUUUAAGUGAAGCUAUAGGUUUCAUAUAUUUUCAUGAAUUCAAAAUUUCCAUGCUCAUAUGUUUGAUAAUUGAUGAAAUGAUGUAAUCCAGAGCCAAACUCAUAGCUUUGAAGAUUGAGGCGAGCUAGCUAAGCAUGAAAAGAGUAAAGAAGGAGACAAUCUCAAUAAUUGAUUGUUUCGUCUGUUUUAGUUACUUCUAGCCUCUAGAUAUUUCCCAUUUUUUCUUCUACUUCUAUAGUAGGAUGUUGUGCAGAAUGGAUUGCUCAUGGAGUAAUGCUAUUUCCCCUAUUGAAUUUAUAUGGUUUCCAGCUAAAAUUUAACUAUUCAAUUCUCAAAGCAGAUAGUAUUUUAGAUGCUAGUAAGACAUCCUUCUACACUCCAUGGAGGGAUAUGUACCUUGGAGGCUAAUCUCAAAUGUAUUUUGCACCCUUAAUGAGCUGUUGUUUGCCACAAGUAAUAUUACGUUUUAGUCUAUUGUCACUUGACCUGUAGGUUGUUUUAGUAAAGCUUUUCUGUACGUCAUCGGUUGCCUGGUGUGUAAUCUAUAUCAAAAUAAUUGUGCACCUCAUAUGCUGAUUUUCAUUUAUAAACUUGCUGCCUUCGUUUCAGGUUUUAGUCCUUCUCAUUUAGUAAGUGUUCCAUCUCUGUCAGUUUACGGCAGAUCCAUGAAGGUGGAAAACUUUGGAUUUUCAUUUCUCAAAAGGAGGUUUGUGUGAUUCUUCAAUGUGGAGAAGUCAGAUAUUGUUGUCUUGUGGUGAGCUGAAGAACGUAAAAGAGUUUGCAUUCAGUACCAACAGAGUUUCCACUAGAUUUGGGUGUCAAGUUGUGCUAAGCUUACACAACUGAGCAUAUAUAUGUGUCUUCUAACUUGGCCCCAAGCCCCCAAUUGUUAUUCGUCUUCCAACUGUGUGUGCAGAUAGGUAUGUAAACUUGUAUACGUUGAACAUGUAACCCAUUUUCUCAUUGAAUGAAAAGGUACGAAAUAAAUUAGAUUGAUAAAAGUACCUCGGUUUUUCCCCUU